rnacentral:lncRNA from 1 species
GUUUUCUGGAAUAUGAACUGAGUUUUCUGGAACAUGAGCCCAGUUUUCUGGACCAUGAACUGAUUUUCCUGGAAUGUUUUCUGGUUUUGCAGCUGGCAGGACCUGGCUAGCAAGAUGAACGCGCAGGUGGCCGAUGAAGGAGCAGGUGGCUACGCUGGGGAGCCCCAGGUUGCCCCCAGGGCCGGGCAGAGGGGGCAGAGGGGCAGCCCCCAGCCCCCCAGCCCCGGGAGAGGGGCGGAGCAGGCAGCAGAGAGGGCGGACGAGGAGGAGCUGGAAAUGGAUGCAGGAGUCAUCGACAGGGAGAUGCACUCACAGCAACAGCCCGUGGUCCAGGAGCCCCUGAUGCCAGAUGAUGCUGCAGAUCCUGCCCAGGACCCCAAUAACCAAGGUGAGGAUGAGUUUGAGGAGGCUGAGCUGGAGAGACCCGACUUUGAGGAGAAGGUGGGAGGCUCAGAGAAGUUGAAGGAGCCCAACUUUAAAGAAGAGUUGAAGGAGAAGCCACCAAAGGUGACUGGCUGGGGACCACCAGCAGGGCCAGGGAGGGCUUUGGAGAGUUUAAGGACUGGAAGGGAAACAUCAGAUUCCUGGAGGGAUCCAUAACCCCACUGUGAGGAUGUGGCAGGUGGGAGAAAGCUCUUUGGCACGCUGGUCAAAACCAACCUAUUUUUGCUUCCCCUGGUAGUCAUGGAGCCUGCAAUUUACAUUUCAUAGGACUUUUUGGUUCUUAGUUUCAUUCUGCUUUCAUUUUUCACCAGUACAACCAGCUGUGCAAGUCCAGCUCUGGUGCAGAGUGGAGCAGAAUAAGCAGAGGUGCCAGAGUUUAGGAAAUUAUCUUUUAGCCAUGCACCAGAGCUUGCUCUGGCCUCAUCCCCUCUGCUUGUUGAAGUCCACCCUGGCACUUGCAACACCUUCAGGGAUGGGGAGAUGUGGAGUAGGGGCCUUUCAUGCAGAACCAGAAACAAUAAUCUGAGUCUGUGCUCGGGUUCUGGUCAGCACAGCCCUAUCCAAGGCUCCUGGCAGCAUGUCAGAGCUCUGCCUCCUUGUUUGCUUCCUUGCAGAUGGAAUCCAUUUAUUUCACAAAGUGUUCCUUGCUGCCUGAAGCCAGNNNNNNNNNNCAAUCACAGAGGGAAUCACAGCAGGAAUCACAGGGAAUCAAUCACAGGGGAAAUCAAUCACAAGAGGAAUCACAGCAGGAAUCACGGGGAAUCAAUCACAAGAGAAAUCACAGGGGGAAUCAAUCACAGAGGGAAUCACAGCAGGAAUUACAGGGAAUCAGUCACAGGGGGAAUCACAGCAGGAAUCACGGGGAAUCAAUCACAGGGGGAAUAAAUCACAAGAGGAAUCACA